rnacentral:rRNA from 1 species
AGCGUGAACGCUGGCGGCAGGCCUAAUACAUGCAAGUCGAACGGCAGCACAGCAGAGCUUGCUCUGUGGGUGGCGAGUGGCGGACGGGUGAGGAAUACAUGGGAAUCUGCCCAGUCGUGGGGGAUAACGUAGGGAAACUUACGCUAAUACCGCAUGCGCCCUUCGGGGGAAAGCCGGGGACCUUCGGGCCUGGCGCGAUUGGAUGAGCCCAUGUCGGAUUAGCUAGUUGGCGGGUAACGCCACAGGCGACGAUCCGUAGCUGGUCUGAGAGGAUGAUCAGCCACACUGGAACUGAGACACGGUCCAGACUCCUACGGGAGCAGCAGUAGGGAAUAUGGACAAGUGGGCGCAAGCCUGAUCCAGCCAUGCCGCGUGAGUGAAGAAGGCCUUCGGUUAGUAAAGCUCUUCGUGUACCGGAAAGAAA